GUAAGACCAUAGCAUUCAACGAAGAACCAACCAAAUGCAAAAUAAGAAGUGAUUUUUAGUCCACACCCCGGACUGGUAGGAAGCAAAAAACUAACAAAAACGAGCAGCUGCAGAAACAGCUAAGAGAUCUUCAUAUGAAAAAUGACUCAACUCGAUAGAGAGGUCCCUUCACUCGCACCCCGCGAUAUGUGUCCGAAGGCUCGAGACUGAGGGGCUCCACCAUCUUGACCUCUGAGAUAUGCUAAAAAUCGGUCGAAACUCGACGAGUCAAUAGAAAGGUACUCGACUGAUAUCCACUCUUUCACCAACUUGAUGAACGCAGCCAUCGCCUUUCCCCCGUAUGAAUGAAGAACCUUGACAAAAUUUGACAAUGACUUAUACUGCUCUAUAGAUGCCUCCAAGUCCUUAGUGUGCUCUGCGGAGGCCUUGUAUCGCCCCACCGCCUCUUCCGGUGCUGGGGCCAAAACAGAUCAUAAAUUAUCAAUUUCAGUCUCUUGCUCGCAAGCUCGAGCCUCCAAGGUCUCGACAGACUUCCUCAAGGAAGGAUUUUUCUUCCUAAGAUGAUGAACCUCCUUUUUCUUGUCCUCCGAGAGGGCUUUCAACUCCGACGCUUAGCAACGACUCGAUUCAACAAGCUUAGUAUGCAAGGCCACAACCUAGUAGACAAAGGGAUGAAACGGGAGGUAAGCGUUAGGCAAGUUGGAAAAAAUUAGUUAAACUCUUAGGAGACAGAGUAAUAAGAAACUUACCCUCUGAGUAUAGAUAGCCAAGGCUCUCUCAAUAUCGUCAGCACUACACUCGGUAAUUGCCCUGGCCCUAGCAGGCGUCACCAAAGAUCGUAACAUCCCAUCUCGUGAUAACCCCGAGUGGAAGAAAAUCCAAGGUUGAGGAGAGAACCCUCACGCUCGCACCUAGCACGGCUUGAGCUGCCACCCCGGUCCCAAUGGCUCAACAACUUCGACGGGCUCGUCCGAAGGUUGGGGAGUCCCCAUUGUAACACGGUCCCUCGCCUCUCGGGGACAGUUUUCUUUCUCUUCAAUGGGGCGGGACUAAGGUCCACGUCGCUCUCAUGCCCCGACCUGAG
rnacentral:lncRNA from 1 species